rnacentral:rRNA from 1 species
CGAACGGAAAGGCCCCUUCGGGGGUACUCGAGUGGCGAACGGGUGAGUAACACGUGGGCAAUCUGCCCUGCACUUCGGGAUAAGCCUGGGAAACUGGGUCUAAUACCGGAUAGGACCUUUAGGCGCAUGUCUUUAGGUGGAAAGCUUUUGCGGUGUGGGAUGGGCCCGCGGCCUAUCAGCUUGUUGGUGGGGUGAUGGCCUACCAAGGCGACGACGGGUAGCCGGCCUGAGAGGGUGUCCGGCCACACUGGGACUGAGAUACGGCCCAGACUCCUACGGGAGGCAGCAGUGGGGAAUAUUGCACAAUGGGCGCAAGCCUGAUGCAGCGACGCCGCGUGGGGGAUGACGGCCUUCGGGUUGUAAACCUCUUUCACCAUCGACGAAGGUCCGGGUUUUCUCGGAUUGACGGUAGGUGGAGAAGAAGCACCGGCCAACUACGUGCCAGCAGCCGCGGUAAUACGUAGGGUGCGAGCGUUGUCCGGAAUUACUGGGCGUAAAGAGCUCGUAGGUGGUUUGUCGCGUUGUUCGUGAAAUCUCACGGCUUAACUGUGAGCGUGCGGGCGAUACGGGCAGACUAGAGUACUGCAGGGGAGACUGGAAUUCCUGGUGUAGCGGUGGAAUGCGCAGAUAUCAGGAGGAACACCGGUGGCGAAGGCGGGUCUCUGGGCAGUAACUGACGCUGAGGAGCGAAAGCGUGGGGAGCGAACAGGAUUAGAUACCCUGGUAGUCCACGCCGUAAACGGUGGGUACUAGGUGUGGGUUUCCUUCCUUGGGAUCCGUGCCGUAGCUAACGCAUUAAGUACCCCGCCUGGGGAGUACGGCCGCAAGGCUAAAACUCAAAGGAAUUGACGGGGGCCCGCACAAGCGGCGGAGCAUGUGGAUUAAUUCGAUGCAACGCGAAGAACCUUACCUGGGUUUGACAUGCACAGGACGCGUCUAGAGAUAGGCGUUCCCUUGUGGCCUGUGUGCAGGUGGUGCAUGGCUGUCGUCAGCUCGUGUCGUGAGAUGUUGGGUUAAGUCCCGCAACGAGCGCAACCCUUGUCUCAUGUUGCCAGCGGGUAAUGCCGGGGACUCGUGAGAGACUGCCGGGGUCAACUCGGAGGAAGGUGGGGAUGACGUCAAGUCAUCAUGCCCCUUAUGUCCAGGGCUUCACACAUGCUACAAUGGCCGGUACAAAGGGCUGCGAUGCCGCAAGGUUAAGCGAAUCCUUUUAAAGCCGGUCUCAGUUCGGAUUGGGGUCUGCAACUCGACCCCAUGAAGUCGGAGUCGCUAGUAAUCGCAGAUCAGCAACGCUGCGGUGAAUACGUUCCCGGGCCUUGUACACACCGCCCGUCACGUCAUGAAAGUCGGUAACACCCGAAGCCAGUGGCCU